GAUGAACGCUAGCGGCAGGCCUAAUACAUGCAAGUCGAACGGUUCUUGGUUUUCGGAUCAAGGAUAGUGGCGCACGGGUGCGUAACACGUACACAACAUACCCUUUACUGGGGAUAGCGGUGGGAAACUGCCAGUAAUACCCCAUGUCGUUAAGGUUUGGCAUCAAAAUUAUAACGAAAAUUACGGUGGUAGAGGAUUGGUGUGCGUCCGAUUAGCUAGUUGGCGGGGUAACGGCCCACCAAGGCGACGAUCGGUAGGGGGUGUGAGAGCAUGGGCCCCCCCACACGGGUACGUGAGACACGGACCC
rnacentral:rRNA from 1 species